rnacentral:rRNA from 1 species
GCGGCGGACGGGUGAGUAACGCGUGGGAACAUACCCUUUGGUACGGAGUAGCCUCGGGAAACUCGGAUUAAUACCGCAUACGCCCCACGGGGGAAAGGCCGGGAUCUUCGGACCGGUCACUAUUGGAGGAGCCUGCGUAGGAUUAGCUAGUUGGUGAGGUAAAGGCUCACCAAGGCGACGAUCCUUAGCUGGUCUGAGAGGACGAUCAGCCACACUGGAACUGAGACACGGCCCAGACUCC